UGAAUUAUCUCAAGGAAGCAAGAAUAGAUUCGUAAAAUGAACUUACCCUGUCUGGACCAUUAUUUGGUGAGUUGAAGGUGUGAGUUACUUAGCUGGAAAUAUAGACAAGCCAAGAUUAUCUCUACAGAGUAGCAUUCUCCAGUAAGAUAGGAUGAAGUGUGGUGCUGGUAGUUCCAAAUGGUGGAUUGUUGCAAGAUCUGGUUUAGGCACCUUUGGGGAUCACGGGGUUGGUGGCUGAUACAGAUCUCUGCAACUCUGUAAGAACAUCCUGGUUGAACCCAGGAGGCGGAGGUUGCGGUGAGCCGACAUCUUCAUCUUCAUCUUUCUUUGGCUGUUCCUGUAGUGGCAUCUCUUCCUGUGAUCAUCAAGGGAAUAACUUAUUGUAGGCUGAAACUUCUGGGCUUAGGCAGUCUCCCUGCCUCAGCCUUCCAAGUAGCUGGGACCGUAGGCCUGUGCCACCAUGCCUGGCUAAUUCUUUUUCUUCCUCUUCUGCAUUUUUUUUUUUGAGACGGAGUCUCGCUCCGUNNNNNNNNNNNNNNNNNNNNNNNNNNNNNNNNNNNNNNNNNNACCUCUGCCUCCUGGGUUCAGGCGAUUCUUCUGCCUCAGCCUCCUGAGUAGCUGGGACUACAGGCGCGUGCCACCAUGCCCGGCUAAUUUUUGUAUUUUUAGUUGAGGUGGGGUUUCACCAUAUUGGCCAGGCUGUUCUUGAACUCCUGACCUCAUGAUCCACCCGCCUCAGCCUCCCAAAGUGCUGGGAUUACAGGCAUGAGCCACCGCGUCCGGCCUCUCGUCUGCAUUUUUUAGACUUGUACAGGUGUUUUCUACUACCGCUCCCCAAAAUAAUAUAAUUGCGUCUGUAUACACAGAUGUGAAUACACACACACACACACACACACACACACACACAGAGACACACACACACACACCCCUUGCCCAAGUACUGGUCUUCAUUAUAGCUGCCUGUCAGUGACCUGUUUUAUCAGACUGUCUUCAAUGUUUCCUUUAUGGAACUUUUUUUAAUUUCCUGGUUUGUGUAAGGGAAUCUUCCAGGUGCUACAGU
rnacentral:lncRNA from 1 species